CUCGUAGGCGGCCAACUAAGUCAGACGUGAAAUCCCCAGGCUCAACCUGGGAACUGCGUCUGAUACUGGAUGGCUUGAAUCCGGGAGAGGGAUGCAGAAUUCCAGGUGUAGCGGUGAAAUGCGUAGAUAUCUGGAGGAAUACCGGUGGCGAAGGCGGCAUCCUGGACCGGCAUUGACGCUGAGGAGCGAAAGCCAGGGGAAGCAAACG
rnacentral:rRNA from 1 species